UUCCUGGGAACGCGGGCUCCGCGGAGCCGGGGUGGGCGGUGACUCAGCGCCCGGGGCGGAGCGGGGUCCCCUAGCUGUGGGGCCGGCGAGCUUCGCCCCCUCGGCCCUCAGCCGCGCCGGUGCCCGUGGCUGUCCCGGCCUCAGGCCGCUCUGUGCGUUGUCCGGCCGCUGGACGCCCGUAGGGUCUCGGAAGUCUAGAUUCGAGAGCGGGAAAGGCCUUGAAGUUGCUCAUUGUUGUUGCGGGUGCGGCCACAGGUUGCUGGAGGCAUUUGGGGCAUGUGAAGAAGGCGAAAACGAAUCGGUGCUGGCAGUGAGGAUGUGGUUUUCACCUGCGGAACUGAGAAUUUUAUGAAGUUAUUCCAUCUCCCUUUCCCGCCAGAAGCUCAGAGGAGCUGGAAUCCAGUCUGCCUCUCCUGUCCUCCAGAACAGAAACCAGCCCUGCCUCGCUCACCUUCCCCUACUCCUGGGCGAGAGGACCUUACACACAGUAAGCCAUCAGUGAAUGGACACAUCAGGGGUGCUGUUUGUGGUGUAAAGGAUUUGUAAAGUGAAGAUUUAUCCCUCAACUUUACAUGCUGACUUUGCUUAAAACAAGAUUCAACUGUAAGGGGAAAUGAGUGAGCAGGAGAAGAUUUAACCGAAGAGGUGACACUUGAGCUGGACCUUGAAAUUGGAAUUCUCCUAGCAGAUGGGAGCAGUGUCUUAUUGGUAUUUGGAGUGGGCCCUUCGGAAGCAUCCUGGACAGUGCGGGAGUCGCAAAGUCGUGCCAUGAGGAAGACUUGAGAGAACUAGCAUUCUCAGGAGAGAGGUCUGGGGGCUUGCAAGACUGCCAUGAAGAAGCACACUUGCUCCCAGUGUCACGUGGGACGGGGAAGAAGCCACAGGGAAAAUAUUCUGGCUUAGUGUAAAGAGCUUUAUGGGAGCUGUAUGACCAUGGAACUGCCUUCUUUGCCUGGUUGUGAUUUCCGUAUCCCUGGAAUAUACAAGCAGAAGCUGUCAGACUCCUGCACUGUACCUUCAAGAUCUGUUUGAUUCUGUUCCUAACACUUUACUGGGAGUUGAUUAAUGUUCUCCUCCCAAGAAGACUUCUCUUGGGGGAAGGCACCCGAAGGAAGACAUUUUUGAAGGUGAAAUCUCAGGAACAGUGACAUGAGUGUGGGGAGGUGUUUUUGGCUGUUGCCCCUCAAAUGAUACCGUAGCUGGUAAACAAGACCAGCCAUGAUCCAUUCUACCACAUGGAAAUGCCUUUCCCAUCAAUAUCUGCAGCAGUCAUUUUUUUGGUCAAAGUGAGCUCUCCCAAACCAGUUGGGUUAGGCCUCCUGCUUCUUUGCAGCCUCUCUCCAUGAGAAAGUGCCAGAAGGUGUGGCAUCAGGACUGGAGGAGAGAGAGUGGGAUGUGGCUGCAGGAGACGCCUACUCAGGCACUUCAUGGAGAGCACACUUCUCUCAGCUGGAAGCCAACUUUUCUUUCUUCUUGUGACUCAACCAUCAUUUAUUAGAAAAGCUGCCUGAGCAUUCUUUGCUUCAGUCAGAAGCUCUGCUCAUGCUUCAGCUCUUGGUGCUGUCGGAAUUUGCCCCUUUCUCAUUUAAGAUCUCAUAGGAGACUUGUCCCUUCUAGAUGGUCCUCUUUGGGGGACCCCUGACCUCCUUCAUGGUUUCUCUGGGGUGGAGGAUGAUACCCUUUCUUGUGCUUUCAGCUGGUCCCACCACUGAUGUAUCUUUCGAAGAUGCAUGUCUGGGGCUUGAGUGGGGGAGCAGCGCGGUGGCUGGAGACGAGGGACGCAUCACUCCCCAUCACGGAAUGAGAGGCAUUACGGGCCAAAGAAGAGAGCUCUGAGGUUGUACAAGCCUGGAUUUGUUUGCCAGUUCUGACACUAAUUAGCUGUGUGACUCUGGGUGGUUUAUUAACUCAUCUGAGCCUCAGUUUCCACAUCUGUAAACAUGAGGUGACGGUAUCUCUUGUACUUGGUUGUUGAGAUUAUUCAGUGAGAUACCGUGUGUGAAAGCACCUAGCAUGGUAUGUGGCUUUGACUAGGAGCUCAAUGAAUACCACCUCCCUUACUUCACUUCCUGGAACUCUGGUCUUUAUUCCAUCUAAGGCCUUCUUGGCAGCCACCCAGCAGGCACGCUGGUGGGCAUCUUAUUGGAUGGAAAGUCUUGGUGCCUUUUAGAGCUUCCAGAAAGAUCCAUGGACAGAGUAAGUGGCCACUUUAUGCUAUUCCAGAGCAUGACCUGAGGAGUGGAUACUGGACUCCAUCUGUCACUUGUUUACUCACUACCUCAGUGUGGCCUGAAAUUCUUCCCAUUAGUCAUUUCCAUUUUAAUUUUCUUCUGGAAUCAAUAGAUUCACCGGGAAAACAGUCUAUCAUCUAUAGGCUGGAGUGUAGAAAGCCAUUGUCAAGGGUGGAGAGGAAGGCCAGGGGUGUUGGCUGUCUCUCAUCCAGCAGCACAUUGGACCCUUUAAGAAUGAAAUUAGUUGACUGACACCUUGGAGCAGAGACUCUGUCACUUACCUCUUUUUUGCUGGAGCCCUGCCUACAACAGGAGAUUAUCAACACUUUUUGUUGAUCCAGUGAAUGUCUUUUAAAAAUUAUGUGAUUCUGAUACAUGCUACAACAUGGAUAAAACUUGAGGACAUUAUGCUAAGUGAAAUAAGCCAGUCACAAAGAGACACAUACUGCAUGA